rnacentral:rRNA from 1 species
AGAGUUUGAUCCUGGCUCAGAACGAACGCUGGCGGCAGGCCUAAUACAUGCAAGUCGAGCGCAUCCUUCGGGAUGAGCGGCGGACGGGUGAGUAACGCGUGGGAAUAUGCCCUUCUCUAAGGAAUAGCCUCUGGAAACGGAGAGUAAUACCUUAUACGCCCUUCGGGGGAAAGAUUUAUCGGAGAAGGAUUAGCCCGCGUUAGAUUAGGUAGUUGGUGGGGUAAUGGCCUACCAAGCCUACGAUCUAUAGCUGGUUUGAGAGGAUGAUCAGCCACACUGGGACUGAGACACGGCCCAGACUCCUACGGGAGGCAGCAGUAGGGAAUCUUAGACAAUGGGGGAAACCCUGAUCUAGCCAUGCCGCGUGUGUGAUGAAGGCCUUAGGGUCGUAAAGCACUUUCGCCAGAGAUGAUAAUGACAGUAUCUGGUAAAGAAACCCCGGCUAACUCCGUGCCAGCAGCCGCGGUAAUACGGAGGGGGUUAGCGUUGUUCGGAAUUACUGGGCGUAAAGCGCACGUAGGCGGAUUAGUAAGUUAGAGGUGAAAUCCCAGGGCUCAACCCUGGAACUGCCUUUAAUACUGCUAGUCUUGAGUUCGAGAGAGGUAAGUGGAAUUCCAAGUGUAGAGGUGAAAUUCGUAGAUAUUUGGAGGAACACCAGUGGCGAAGGCGGCUUACUGGCUCGAUACUGACGCUGAGGUGCGAAAGUGUGGGGAGCAAACAGGAUUAGAUACCCUGGUAGUCCACACCGUAAACGAUGAAUGCCAGACGUCA